UACGAAGGGGGCUAGCGUUGCUCGGAAUCACUGGGCGUAAAGGGUGCGUAGGCGGGUCUUUAAGUCAGGGGUGAAAUCCUGGAGCUCAACUCCAGAACUGCCUUUGAUACUGGGGAUCUCGAGUCCGGGAGAGGUGAGUGGAACUCCGAGUGUAGAGGUGAAAUUCGUAGAUAUUCGGAAGAACACCAGUGGCGAAGGCGG
rnacentral:rRNA from 1 species